rnacentral:rRNA from 1 species
GACGAACGCUGGCGGCGUGUUUAACACAUGCAAGCCGAGCGAUGAAGCUCCUUCGGGAGCGGAUUAGCGGCGGACGGGUGAGUAACACGUGGUUAACCUGCCUCAUAGAGGGGAAUAGCCUUUCGAAAGGAAGAUUAAUACCGCAUAAGAUUGUAGUGCCGCAUGGCAUAGCAAUUAAAGGAGUAAUCCGCUAUGAGAUGGACCCGCGUCGCAUUAGCUAGUUGGUGAGGUAACGGCUCACCAAGGCGACGAUGCGUAGCCGACCUGAGAGGGUGAUCGGCCACAUUGGGACUGAGACACGGCCCAGACUCCUACGGGAGGCAGCUGUGGGGAAUAUUGCACAAUGGGGGAAACCCUGAUGCAGCAACGCCGCGUGAGUGAUGACGGUCUUCGGAUUGUAAAGCUCUGUCUUCAGGGACGAUAAUGACGGUACCUGAGGAGGAAGCCACGGCUAACUACGUGCCAGCAGCCGCGGUAA